rnacentral:rRNA from 1 species
AUGGGUCAGCGACUUAUAUUCUGUAGCAAGGUUAACCGAAUAGGGGAGCCGAAGGGAAACCGAGUCUUAACUGGGCGUUAAGUUGCAGGGUAUAGACCCGAAACCCGGUGAUCUAGCCAUGGGCAGGUUGAAGGUUGGGUAACACUAACUGGAGGACCGAACCGACUAAUGUUGAAAAAUUAGCGGAUGACUUGUGGCUGGGGGUGAAAGGCCAAUCAAACCGGGAGAUAGCUGGUUCUCCCCGAAAGCUAUUUAGGUAGCGCCUCGUGAAUUCAUCUCCGGGGGUAGAGCACUGUUUCGGCAAGGGGGUCAUCCCGACUUACCAACCCGAUGCAAACUGCGAAUACCGGAGAAUGUUAUCACGGGAGACACACGGCGGGUGCUAACGUCCGUCGUGAAGAGGGAAACAACCCAGACCGCCAGCUAAGGUCCCAAAGUCAUGGUUAAGUGGGAAACGAUGUGGGAAGGCCCAGACAGCCAGGAUGUUGGCUUAGAAGCAGCCAUCAUUUAAAGAAAGCGUAAUAGCUCACUGGUCGAGUCGGCCUGCGCGGAAGAUGUAACGGGGCUAAACCAUGCACCGAAGCUGCGGCAGCGACACUGUGUGUUGUUGGGUAGGGGAGCGUUCUGUAAGCCUGUGAAGGUGUACUGUAAGGUAUGCUGGAGGUAUCAGAAGUGCGAAUGCUGACAUAAGUAACGAUAAAGCGGGUGAAAAGCCCGCUCGCCGGAAGACCAAGGGUUCCUGUCCAACGUUAAUCGGGGCAGGGUGAGUCGACCCCUAAGGCGAGGCCGAAAGGCGUAGUCGAUGGGAAACAGGUUAAUAUUCCUGUACUUGGUGUUACUGCGAAGGGGGGACGGAGAAGGCUAUGUUGGCCGGGCGACGGUUGUCCCGGUUUAAGCGUGUAGGCUGGUUUUCCAGGCAAAUCCGGAAAAUCAAGGCUGAGGCGUGAUGACGAGGCACUACGGUGCUGAAGCAACAAAUGCCCUGCUUCCAGGAAAAGCCUCUAAGCAUCAGGUAACAUCAAAUCGUACCCCAAACCGACACAGGUGGUCAGGUAGAGAAUACCAAGGCGCUUGAGAGAACUCGGGUGAAGGAACUAGGCAAAAUGGUGCCGUAACUUCGGGAGAAGGCACGCUGAUAUGUAGGUGAAGUCCCUCGCGGAUGGAGCUGAAAUCAGUCGAAGAUACCAGCUGGCUGCAACUGUUUAUUAAAAACACAGCACUGUGCAAACACGAAAGUGGACGUAUACGGUGUGACGCCUGCCCGGUGCCGGAAGGUUAAUUGAUGGGGUCAGCGCAAGCGAAGCUCUUGAUCGAAGCCCCGGUAAACGGCGGCCGUAACUAUAACGGUCCUAAGGUAGCGAAAUUCCUUGUCGGGUAAGUUCCGACCUGCACGAAUGGCGUAAUGAUGGCCAGGCUGUCUCCACCCGAGACUCAGUGAAAUUGAACUCGCUGUGAAGAUGCAGUGUACCCGCGGCAAGACGGAAAGACCCCGUGAACCUUUACUAUAGCUUGACACUGAACAUUGAGCCUUGAUGUGUAGGAUAGGUGGGAGGCUUUGAAGUGUGGACGCCAGUCUGCAUGGAGCCGACCUUGAAAUACCACCCUUUAAUGUUUGAUGUUCUAACGUGGACCCGUGAUCCGGGUUGCGGACAGUGUCUGGUGGGUAGUUUGACUGGGGCGGUCUCCUCCUAAAGAGUAACGGAGGAGCACGAAGGUUGGCUAAUCCUGGUCGGACAUCAGGAGGUUAGUGCAAUGGCAUAAGCCAGCUUGACUGCGAGCGUGACGGCGCGAGCAGGUGCGAAAGCAGGUCAUAGUGAUCCGGUGGUUCUGAAUGGAAGGGCCAUCGCUCAACGGAUAAAAGGUACUCCGGGGAUAACAGGCUGAUACCGCCCAAGAGUUCAUAUCGACGGCGGUGUUUGGCACCUCGAUGUCGGCUCAUCACAUCCUGGGGCUGAAGUAGGUCCCAAGGGUAUGGCUGUUCGCCAUUUAAAGUGGUACGCGAGCUGGGUUUAGAACGUCGUGAGACAGUUCGGUCCCUAUCUGCCGUGGGCGCUGGAGAACUGAGGGGGGCUGCUCCUAGUACGAGAGGACCGGAGUGGACGCAUCACUGGUGUUCGGGUUGUCAUGCCAAUGGCACUGCCCGGUAGCUAAAUGCGGAAGAGAUAAGUGCUGAAAGCAUCUAAGCACGAAACUUGCCCCGAGAUGAGUUCUCCCUGACCCUUUAAGGGUCCUGAAGGAACGUUGAAGACGACGACGUUGAUAGGCCGGGUGUGUAAGCGCAGCGAUGCGUUGAGCUAACCGGUACUAAUGAACCGUGAGGCUUAACCUUACAACGCCGAAGGUGUUU